GCACGUAGUUAGCCGAGACUUAUUCCUACGAUACUGUCCUUUCUCAUCUCGCAGAAAAGUGCUUUACGAUCCGAAGACCUUCAUCGCACACGCGGCGUUGCUGCUUCAGGCUUUCGCCCAUUGAGCAAUAUUCCCUACUGCUGCCACCCGUAGGUGUAUGGACCGUGUUUCAGUUCCAUUGUGGGGGGUCACCCUCUCAGGUCCCCUACCCGUCGUUGCCUUGGUGAGCCGUUACCUCACCAACUAGCUGAUGGGACGCAGGUCCCUCCCAAAGCGAAUUGCUCCUUUAGUCAUCAGUUUCUAAAUCCAAUGACCACAUGCGGUAUUAGCAAUCCUUUCGGACUGUUAUCCCACACUUUGGGGUAGGUCACCAACGCGUUACUCACCCGUUCGCCACUAGGAUACUCUCGUAUUGCUACAAAAGCACCUCGUUCGACUUGCAUGUAUUAGGCACGCCGCCAGCGUUCAUC
rnacentral:rRNA from 1 species